GCCCGGCUAGCUCAGUCAGUAGAGCUUGAGACUCUUAACCUCAGGGUCAUGGGUUCGAGCCCCACACUGGGCG